CUGUGACAGCCCUGAGCUCAGCAUCUCCAUUCAACUCAGCCGCCUAUAAAUACUGACGAGGACUCCUCCAACAUUCAUCAGCUGACUGGCUGGCUGAGCAGUGCAGUCAUGAAGGUCCUCGUCGUCCUCGUCUUCAUCUUUCUCUCAGGUUGUAAUGGUGGACGCUAUGAACCCCCAAGCCAAAGGCAGGUAGAAAUGGCGCAGGAUGCUUACUGGCAAUAUGUUCAGCAGUCAACGUCGACCCCAGAAGACUAUGUGCGGGAUAUCAGACACUCGCCUCCAGGACAGUAUCUGUGCUCCCUCAUCGCAAAGAGCAUCA